GGGGGGGCAAGCGUUGUUCGGAAUUACUGGGCGUAAAGGGCGCGUAGGCGGCCUGCUAAGUCGGACGUGAAAUCCCUCGGCUCAACCGGGGAACUGCGUCCGAUACUGGUGGGCUCGAAUCCGGGAGAGGGAUGUGGAAUUCCAGGUGUAGCGGUGAAAUGCGUAGAUAUCUGGAGGAACACCGGUGGCGAAGGCGGCAUCCUGGACCGGUAUCGACGCUGAUGCGCGAAAGCCAGGGGAGCAAACGGGAUUAGAUACCCCGGUAGUCCUGGCCCUAAACGAUGAGUGCUUGGUGUGGCGGGUAUCGAUCCCUGCCGUGCCGAAGCUAACGCAUUAAGCACUCCGCCUGGGGAGUACGGUCGCAAGGCUG
rnacentral:rRNA from 1 species